AUGAGUGGUGGAUUGGCUCCAAGUAAGAAUACAGUGUAUGUAUCCAACUUGCCUUUUUCCCUGACAAACAAUGACUUAUAGAGGAUAUUUUCCAAGUAUGGCAAAGUUGUAAAGGUUACUAUAAUGAAAGAUAAAGAUACCAGGAAGAGUAAAGGGGUUGCAUUUAUUUUAUUUUUGGAUAAAUACUCUGCACAAAACUGUACCAGGGCAAUAAACAACAAACAGUUGUUUGGUAGAGUGAUAAAAACAAGUAUUGCUAUUGACAACGGAAGAGCAGCUGAGUUCAUCCGAAGGCGAAUGUACUUUGAUAGAUUUAAAUUUAAGUGUUAUGAAUGUGGGGAAAGCGGACACUUAAGUUAUGCCUGUCCUAAAAAUAUGCUUGGAGAAGGUGAACCUCCAAAAAAGAAGGAAAAAAAGAAAAAAAAGAAAGUUCCUGAACCAGAAGAAGAAAUUGAGGAAGUAGAAGAAAGUGAAGAUGAAGGGGAAGAUCCUGCUCUUAACAGUCUCAGUCAGGCCAUAGCAUUCCAGCAAGCCAAAAUUGAAGAAGAACAAAAAAAAUGGAAACCCAGUUCAGGGAGUCCCUCAACAUCAGAUGACUCAAGACGCCCAAGGAUAAAGAAAAGCACAUAUUUUAGUGAUGAAGAACUGAGUGAUUAA